rnacentral:rRNA from 1 species
GAUGAACGCUGGCGGCGUGCCUAAUACAUGCAAGUCGAGCGAACAGACGAGGAGCUUGCUCCUCUGACGUUAGCGGCGGACGGGUGAGUAACACGUGGAUAACCUACAUAUAAGACUGGGAUAACUUCGGGAAACCGGAGCUAAUACCGGAUAAUAUAUUGAACCGCAUGGUUCAAUAGUGAAUGACGGUUUUGCUGUCUCUUAUAGAUGGAUCCGCGCCGGAUUAGCUAGUUGGUAAGGUAACGGCUUACCAAGGCAACGAUGCGUAGCCGACCUGAGAGGGUGAUCGGCCACACUGGAACUGAGACACGGUCCAGACUCCUACGGGAGGCAGCAGUAGGGAAUCUUCCGCAAAGGGCGAAAGCCUGACGGAGCAACGCCGCGUGAGUGAUGAAGGUCUUCGGAUCGUAAAACUCUGUUAUUAGGGAAGAACAAAUGUGUAAGUAACUAUGCACGUCUUGACGGUACCUAAUCAGAAAGCCACGGCUAACUACGUG